rnacentral:rRNA from 1 species
UACGUAGGGGGCAAGCGUUGUCCGGAUUUAUUGGGCGUAAAGAGCGUGUAGGCGGCCAGGUAGGUCCGUUGUGAAAACUCGAGGCUCAACCUCGAGACGCCGAUGGAAACCAUCUGGCUAGAGUCCGGAAGAGGAGAGUGGAAUUCCUGGUGUAGCGGUGAAAUGCGCAGAUAUCAGGAAGAACACCAAUGGCGAAAGCAGCUCUCUGGGACGGCACUAACGCUGAGACGCGAAAGCGUGGGGAGCGAACAGG